CGGCUGCACGUAUGCCCGAGGAGGACCCACACCCGCCCCAGGCCUGCGCGGAGCUCCCCGGCAGCCUUGGGGAAAAAGGGAACAGGUCUUCAUGGGGGGCCCACGACGGGAAGGUUGUGAAAGCCGUGAACACGUAAAGGGAUUCUCAAGAGACCAAAGCAGUGAUGAUAAUUAAGAUGAAGAACCGCGAUUUGGGCGGCGGCUUCCCACGUGCUUUUCUGAGCCCUUCACGAGGCAGGAGCCUGUGCCAACAGGUGGCCAGGCGGAGUGUGUGCCCAAGGCUGUCAUGAAGGCAGAUUCGCUCAGCCCUGAGGAGCCUGUGACAGGGCCUGUGCCUGCCCACGGGUAUGACACUUGCUGCUGGACCCCGGACAGGCCUGCACACAUCUCCAUCGCGGUGGCCUCUCACCCCCCACGUGGCCCGCCUCUGGCCCCGGGAAGCCUGCGGUGGUCCUUGCCCCAUCGACUAGAGGCUGGGGUUGCUGUCCUGCUGCACUGGCCUCCAUCACUGUCCCCAGCGGCCCUCGAGGUGACCCCGAGCCCAGCACAUCGUGUUGGCAGCUGGGGGCCGCACCAUGGUGGCAAAAGCCGUGCCCCUUCCCCUCUGGGCACUUUUGGUCUCCUGCGAGCAAGAGGGCUUCGGAGAUGGGGGCUGGUUUGUAUCCGUUUCCUUGGUCGCUCCGUUCCCGUCGGCAGAGUGCAUCUCGGGUAGUCUUGCCGCCCGGGUUCCGGUGGAAGGUCCCUGAUAGCGCCCCCCCGUGCUGUGUUUGCCUAGAAGCAAAGCCAGCAAUGCCCCAACCUGUUACUCUUUCCUCUCGAUGGUACCAAGGUGGGCGGCUUGUCCCUUUGACCGUGUUGCAGUCGGACCCUCCCACACUGACUUCUUCCCUGAGAAAGGUGUUUAAGGGAAGGACAGGACGUCUACCGGGCGUCCCCCAGGCCCAGGCAGGAAGUGGAUUAUGGAGAAAGUCGGCACGAGCAGCUUUAGAAUAAACCGGAAAGUUUCUGGUUGGACAGACGGUGGACGUUGGUUGCCCUUGCGGUGCCCGGGGUUCGUCAGGCA